rnacentral:tRNA from 1 species
GGAGAGGUGUCUGAGUGGUUUAAAGAGCACGCUUGGAAAGCGUGUGUGCGCUUUACGGUGCACCGGGAGUUCGAAUCUCCCCCUCUCCGCCA